UCGGAAGAAGCAUUGUUAAGGAACUCGGCAAAAUGACCCCGUAACUUCGGGAGAAGGGGUGCCCACUUCAGGGUGGGCCGCAGAGAAUAGGCUCAAGCAACUGUUUAGCAAAAACACAGGUCUAUGCGAAACCGUAAGGUGAAGUAUAUGGGCUGACGCCUGCCCGGUGCUGGAAGGUUAAGAGGAGAGGUUAGUCGCAAGAUGAAGCUUUGAAUUUAAGCCCCAGUAAACGGCGGCCGUAACAAUAACGGUCCUAAGGUAGCGAAAUUCCUUGUCGGGUAAGUUCCGACCCGCACGAAAGGCGUAAUGAUUUGAGCACUGUCUCGACAAUGCAUCCGGUGAAAUUGAAGUACCAGUGAAGAUGCUGGUUACCCGCGCCAGGACGGAAAGACCCCAUGGAGCUUUACUCCAGUUUGGUACUGGGAUUCGGUACUGCAUGUACAGGAUAGGUGGGAGACUGAGAAAUUGGAACGCCAGUUUCAAUGGAGUCACUGUUGGGAUACCACCCCUGCAGUAUUGGGUUUCUAACCAGCCGCUGUGAUCCAGCGGUGGGACAAUGCCAGGCGGGGAGUUUGACUGGGGCGGUCGCCUCCGAAAGGGUAUCGGAGGCGCUCAAAGGUUCCCUCAGAAUGGUCGGAAACCAUUUUAAGAGUGCAAAGGCAGAAGGGAGCUUGACUGCGACACCGACGGGUGGAGCAGGUACGAAAGUAGGACUUAGUGAUCCGGUGGCAUAAAGUGGGAUUGCCAUCGCUCAACGGAUAAAAGCUACCCUGGAUAACAGGCUUAUCACUCCCAAGAGUUCACAUCGACGGAGUGGUUUGGCACCUCGAUGUCGGCUCAUCGCAUCCUGGGGCUGUAGCAGGUCCCAAGGGUUGGGCUGUUCGCCCAUUAAAGCGGUACGCGAGCUGGGUUCAGAACGUCGUGAGACAGUUCGGUCCCUAUCCGGCGCGGGCGGAGGAUAUUUGAGAGGGGCUGUCCUUAGUACGAGAGGACCGGGAUGGACGGACCACUGGUGUAUCUGCUGUCGACCAACGGCAUGGCAGAGUAGCCAAGUCCGGAAGGGAUAAACGCUGAAGGCAUCAAAGCGUGAAGCCCCCCUCAAGAUGAGAUAUCCCUCACAUAAGUGAGUAAGAUCCCUUGAAGAGUACAAGGUAGAUAGGGCAGAGGUGGAAGCACGGUAACGUGUGGAGCUGACUGUUACUAAUCGAUCGAGGGCUUGACCAA
rnacentral:rRNA from 1 species